rnacentral:rRNA from 1 species
GCGGUUAUACAAAUAAUACAAUUUAGUUUUAUAAAUAUUAAUUAAUUUAAUAAUAAUAAUUUUAUAAAAAAAUUUAUUAGGUGAAAUUUUAAAUUUUUAUAAAAUUAUAAUUUAUAAAUGAGGUUAGUAAAAUUUAAUUUUAAACUAGGAUUAGAUACCCUAUUAUUUAAAUAGUAAAAAAAUUAUUUAAUAAUUAUUAGAUAUAUUCUUUAAAGUUAAAAAUUUUGGCGGUAUUUUAGUCUUUUCAGAGGAACUUGUUCUAUAAAUGAUACUCCACGAUUUAAUCAAUUUUUUUUAGGAACUUAUAUAUCGUCGUAAUUAAAUAUUUUUUUAGAAUUUUAAUAUUUAGGAUUUUUAAUUAAAAAAUUAAUCAGAUCAUGAUUUAGUGUAUAAAAAAGCAGAAAUGAGUUACAAUAAAAGUAUUUUUGGAUUAAUUAUAUUAUUAUAAUUAUGAAAUUGGAUUUGAAAGUAAAAUUAAUUAAUUAAUUAAUUUGAUUUAGCUCUAAAAUAUGU